rnacentral:rRNA from 2 species
UAUAAUGGGUCAGCGACUUAUAUUCUGUAGCAAGGUUAACCGCAUAGGGGAGCCGAAGGGAAACCGAGUCUUAACCGGGCGUUAAGUUGCAGGGUAUAGACCCGAAACCCGGUGAUCUAGCCAUGGGCAGGUUGAAGGUUGGGUAACACUAACUGGAGGACCGAACCGACUAAUGUUGAAAAAUUAGCGGAUGACCUGUGGCUGGGGGUGAAAGGCCAAUCAAACCGGGAGAUAGCUGGUUCUCCCCGAAAGCUAUUUAGGUAGCGCCUCGUGAAUUCAUCUCCGGGGGUAGAGCACUGUUUCGGCUAGGGGGCCAUCCCGGCUUACCAACCCGAUGCAAACUGCGAAUACCGGAGAAUGUUAUCACGGGAGACACACGGCGGGUGCUAACGUCCGUCGUGAAGAGGGAAACAACCCAGACCGCCAGCUAAGGUCCCAAAGUCAUGGUUAAGUGGGAAACGAUGUGGGAAGGCCCAGACAGCCAGGAUGUUGGCUUAGAAGCAGCCAUCAUUUAAAGAAAGCGUAAUAGCUCACUGGUCGAGUCGGCCUGCGCGGAAGAUGUAACGGGGCUAAACCAUGCACCGAAGCUGCGGCAGCGACACUUUAGUGUUGUUGGGUAGGGGAGCGUUCUGUAAGCCGUUGAAGGUGUCCUGUGAGGGGUGCUGGAGGUAUCAGAAGUGCGAAUGCUGACAUAAGUAACGAUAAAGCGGGUGAAAAGCCCGCUCGCCGGAAGACCAAGGGUUCCUGUCCAACGUUAAUCGGGGCAGGGUGAGUCGACCCCUAAGGCGAGGCCGAAAGGCGUAGUCGAUGGGAAACGGGUUAAUAUUCCCGUACUUGGUGUUACUGCGAAGGGGGGACGGAGAAGGCUAUGUUGGCCGGGCGACGGUAGUCCCGGUUUAAGCGUGUAGGCUGGUUUUCCAGGCAAAUCCGGAAAAUCAAGGCUGAGGCGUGAUGACGAGGCACCACGGUGCUGAAGCAACAAAUGCCCUGCUUCCAGGAAAAGCCUCUAAGCAUCAGGUAACAUCAAAUCGUACCCCAAACCGACACAGGUGGUCAGGUAGAGAAUACCAAGGCGCUUGAGAGAACUCGGGUGAAGGAACUAGGCAAAAUGGUGCCGUAACUUCGGGAGAAGGCACGCUGACACGUAGGUGAAGUGAUUUACUCAUGGAGCUGAAGUCAGUCGAAGAUACCAGCUGGCUGCAACUGUUUAUUAAAAACACAGCACUGUGCAAACACGAAAGUGGACGUAUACGGUGUGACGCCUGCCCGGUGCCGGAAGGUUAAUUGAUGGGGUCAGCGCAAGCGAAGCUCCUGAUCGAAGCCCCGGUAAACGGCGGCCGUAACUAUAACGGUCCUAAGGUAGCGAAAUUCCUUGUCGGGUAAGUUCCGACCUGCACGAAUGGCGUAAUGAUGGCCAGGCUGUCUCCACCCGAGACUCAGUGAAAUUGAACUCGCUGUGAAGAUGCAGUGUACCCGCGGCAAGACGGAAAGACCCCGUGAACCUUUACUAUAGCUUGACACUGAACAUUGAGCCUUGAUGUGUAGGAUAGGUGGGAGGCUUUGAAGCGUGGACGCCAGUCUGCGUGGAGCCGACCUUGAAAUACCACCCUUUAAUGUUUGAUGUUCUAACGUGGACCCGUAAUCCGGGUUGCGGACAGUGUCUGGUGGGUAGUUUGACUGGGGCGGUCUCCUCCUAAAGAGUAACGGAGGAGCACGAAGGUUGGCUAAUCCUGGUCGGACAUCAGGAGGUUAGUGCAAUGGCAUAAGCCAGCUUGACUGCGAGCGUGACGGCGCGAGCAGGUGCGAAAGCAGGUCAUAGUGAUCCGGUGGUUCUGAAUGGAAGGGCCAUCGCUCAACGGAUAAAAGGUACUCCGGGGAUAACAGGCUGAUACCGCCCAAGAGUUCAUAUCGACGGCGGUGUUUGGCACCUCGAUGUCGGCUCAUCACAUCCUGGGGCUGAAGUAGGUCCCAAGGGUAUGGCUGUUCGCCAUUUAAAGUGGUACGCGAGCUGGGUUUAGAACGUCGUGAGACAGUUCGGUCC